GGUAGAAGGACUUACUCUUCGGAGUGAGAGCGUACACAGGUGCUGCAUGGCUGUCGUCAGCUCGUGUCGUGAGAUGUUGGGUUAAGUCCCGCAACGAGCGCAACCCUGCAUUCAGUUGCCAUCGGUAAGGCCGGGCACUCUGGAUGGACUGCCGGCGACAAGCCGGAGGAAGGUGGGGACGACGUCAAGUCAUCAUGGCCCUUAUGUCCAGGGCGACACACGUGCUACAAUGGCCGGCACAACGGGAAGCGAAGGGGCGACCCUGAGCGGAUCCCCAUAAAAGCCGGUCCCAGUUCGGAUUGCAGUCUGCAACUCGACUGCAUGAAGUUGGAAUCGCUAGUAAUCGUGGAUCAGCCAAGCCGCGGUGAAUACGUUCCCGGGCCUU
rnacentral:rRNA from 1 species